GACCAGCUGUCCUGGUUUGCCUGGGACUGAGGAGUUUCCCAGGAUGUGGGAGUUUCAGUGCUAAAAGUGGGCAAGU
ensembl:miRNA